GGCUCAGGAUGAACGCUAGCGGCAGGCUUAACACAUGCAAGUCGAGGGGCAGCAUAAACAUUGCUUGCAAUGUUUGGUGGCGACCGGCGCAAGGGUGCGUAACGCGUGAGCAACUUGCCCUUAUCAGGGGAAUAACCGGUGGAAACGCCGACUAAUACCCCAUAGUAUCACUUCAAGGCAUCUUUAGUGAUUAAAGAAUUUCGGAUAAGGAUAGGCUCGCGUGACAUUAGCUAGAUGGCGGGGUAACGGCCCACCAUGGCGACGAUGUCUAGGGGUUCUGAGAGGAAGGUCCCCCACACUGGAACUGAGACACGGUCCAGACUCCUACGGGAGGCAGCAGUGAGGAAUAUUGGUCAAUGGUCGGAAGACUGAACCAGCCAAGUAGCGUGAAGGAUGAAGGUUCUAUGGAUUGUAAACUUCUUUUAUACGGGAAUAAAACCUCCCACGUGUGGGAGCUUGUAUGUACCGUAUGAAUAAGCAUCGGCUAACUCCGUG
rnacentral:rRNA from 1 species